rnacentral:snoRNA from 1 species
CAGUGGUGAUGACUUUUUUAGGACACCUUUGGAUUAAAUUGUGACACGACAGUGUAAUUCCUGAGCAGC